rnacentral:rRNA from 1 species
GGGCAUUGGAGACAGGUGGUGCAUGGUUGUUGUCAGCUUGUGUCGUGAGAUGUUGGGUUAAGUCCCGCAACGAGCGCAACCCCUAUUUCCAGUAGCCAGCAGGUAGAGCUGGGGGGUAUGGAGAGACUGCCCGGGAUAACCGGGAGGAAGGCGGGGAUGACGUCAAAUCAUCAUGCCCCUUAUGAUCAGGGCUACACACGUGCUACAAUGGCGUAAACAAAGGGAAGCGAGACGGUGACGUUGAGCAAAUCCCAAAAAUAACGUCCCAGUUCGGAUUGUAGUCUGCAACUCGACUACAUGAAGCUGGAAUCGCUAGUAAUCGCGAAUCAGAAUGUCGCGGUGAAUACGUUCCCGGGUCUUGUACACACCGCCCGUCACACCAUGGGAGUCGGAAAUGCCCGAAGUCAGUGACCUAACAGAAAGGAAGGAGCUGCCGAAGGUGGAGCCGGUAACUGGGGUGAAGUCGUAACAAAGUAACCGU